UACUUCGCUUGCGAAUCAUGGGAUAGA
rnacentral:sRNA from 1 species